AAUUAUUCUCAAUAAAAUUCACAAAAUUAUUGAUUUCCUCGAGCUUGGAGAGCUCUCGUCAGUAAAAAUGCAAAGGAAACAUGCUCAGUUACAAGUUACAAAACCAAGACGCUCAGCUAGAGGAAUGAUCCCCAACAUUCUCAGAAGAAAACCCAACCCAGAAAAUUCACACAAGGAAAUCAAAAUCAACAGUAAAAGGAAAUGUAAUUUUCACAAGCUUCUUGAACCCAACCUUGCGAGUUGCGACGACAGCGAAUCCAACCUUGCGGUGGCGAACCCAGCCGAGACCCGAGAGUUGUUUGACUUGCUUGCGGCUUGCAGGACAGCGGAACUGCGGAAGGCGGAAGACGGAAGGCAGCAGCAGCAGCGGCGGCACAGCUAGGGUUUGUCUUGUUUGGGUAAAUCACGAUUUGUGUGUUUGAGU
rnacentral:lncRNA from 1 species